CCCGGACUCCUACGGGAGGCAGCAGUGGGGAAUAUUGCACAAUGGGGGAAACCCUGAUGCAGCAACGCCGCGUGAGUGAAGAAGUAUUUCGGUAUGUAAAGCUCUAUCAGCAGGGAAGAAAAUGACGGUACCUGAGUAAGAAGCCCCGGCUAACUACGUGCCAGCAGCCGCGGUAAUACGUAGGGGGCAAGCGUUAUCCGGAUUUACUGGGCGUAAAGGGAGCGUAGACGGCCAGACAAGUCUGAAGUGAAAAUCCAGCGCUUAACGUUGGAAGUGCUUUGGAAACUGCCGGGCUAGAGUGCAGGAGGGGCAGGCGGAAUUCCUAGUGUAGCGGUGAAAUGCGUAGAUAUUAGGAGGAACACCAGUGGCGAAGGCGGCCUGCUGGACUGCAACUGACGUUGAGGCUCGAAGGCGUGGGGAGCAAACAGGAUUAGAUCCCCUUGUA
rnacentral:rRNA from 1 species